rnacentral:miRNA from 1 species
CGUGCGUGUGUGUGUGUGUGUGUGUGUGUGUGUGUGUGUGUGUGUGUGAGAGUGCCCGUGAGCACCUCCCCACGCAC